CGCGGCUGGCUGGGCGCCUGGCUUUGCGCGCAACUGGUGGCGGGGUCCUCCUUCUCCUCCUCGUCCGGGCGGGGUGGUCACGCCCGGCGGUGGCGGCUCCUGCACAGUGCCGAGGCCGGCCAGGCGAAGUUGGGCAGCGGCGAGGAGGGGUGGCGUUGCUGCUGCUGCUCCCUCUUCCCAGUAUGCCGGCGUCUCCCCAGUUGCCUCGGCGGCGACGGCAAGCGGGCGGGCGGCAGCGGCAGCCGAAGAAGCGCGUGUGAGCGACCGGAGAGCUCCUCUCCACUCACAAGGAUGCUGGGGGGCGAUGCCUGGCGGCAGGGAGGACGAGAUUUGCCAGAAAGCGCUGAAGCUGCUGGUCGAGCUCUGCUCCGACGGGACGGUGGAGAACGACCGCUGCCUCGAGUUCAACUACUACCUGCGGGACAGCGGCAGACCCCGGCCCACAGACUCCGAUAUCACAGUCAGUUUACUGUCCUUAGUUGUCACAGCAUGUGGACUUGCUUUGUUUGGGGUGUCUCUGUUUGUGUCCUGGAAGCUGUGUUGGGUUCCUUGGCGAGAACGUGGCCUGCCUGGAAACAAAGACAAGCAGGAGUCCCUGAACUAUACAGACACAGAGACCAAUGACCACGAGUAUAGCGAGGAUUACUUGGGACAGCCUACCACCUACCCCGACUCUUCCAUGAAGAUUAGCCACACAUCCCCUGACAUCCCUUUGGACGCUAAGGCAGGGACCAAGGAAAACUGUGUGCAUAAUGUCCGGAUGCAUCGACAGAUCACGGAGCCAACUCCUUCUGCGCGGCACAAUUCAUUCCGAAGGCAGCUCAAUCUCUCAAACCCAGACUUCAACAUCCAGCAGAUCCAAAAGCAGGAGCAGCUGACAGGGAUUGGGCGCAUCAAGCCUGAGCUGUAUAAACAAAGAUCGGUGGACACAGAUGAUGGGAGGAGGAACAAUAGCAAAUCUUGUGGGAAGCUCAACUUUAUUGUGAAAUACGAUUGUGACUUGGAGCAACUGAUAGUGAAGAUUCACAAAGCUGUCAACCUGCCAGCAAAGGACUUCUCUGGGACUUCAGACCCCUAUGUCAAGAUCUACUUACUUCCAGAUAGGAAAACAAAACACCAGACUAAAGUGCAUAGAAAGACCCUAAACCCAGUGUUUGAUGAAGUUUUUUUAUUUCCUGUUCCUUACAAUGAUUUGAGCACGAGGAAGCUCCACUUCUCUGUAUAUGACUUUGACCGAUUCUCCAGGCAUGACUUGAUUGGCCAAGUGAUAGUGGAUAAUUUUUUAGAGUUGUCAGACUUUCCCAGGGAGUGUAAUCUUUGGAAGGAUAUUGAAUAUGUCACCAAUGACAAAGUGGAUCUUGGCGAGUUGAUGUUUUCACUUUGCUAUCUUCCAACUGCUGGUAGACUAACUAUUACUAUAAUAAAAGCUAGAAAUUUGAAGGCCAUGGACAUAACAGGAGCAUCAGAUCCCUACGUGAAGGUUUCACUAAUGUGUGAAGGGAGACGAUUGAAGAAGAGGAAGACUUCCACUAAGAGGAACACCCUUAAUCCUGUUUAUAAUGAAGCCAUAGUCUUUGAUGUCCCUCCAGAAAACAUUGACCAAAUUAACUUGUUUAUAGCCGUUAUGGAUUAUGACCGUGUAGGUCACAAUGAGGUCAUUGGAGUCUGUCAAGUAGGCAACGAUGCGGAAAGCCUUGGGCGAGACCACUGGAACGAAAUGCUCUCCUACCCUCGGAAGCCCAUUGCUCACUGGCAUUUGCUUGCAGAGGGCCCUAUUCCACAGAAAUGUUAUGCGGGCCUUCUGCGCAUGGAUGGCUGCCGAAGAGGCUUCCUCACUCUUUUAACCUAUUCAGCAGAAAUUUGGCAUUCCUGUUGAACCCUUUCUUAGCCAUUUUCUCAGGGGCCAUUCCGCAGAGUGUCCAAAGGGCUCUGAUCCUAAAUGGUUUGAAAAAUCUGAGCCCCCGGUCAUCUCCCUUUGGGGAAGGCCGAAUAAACUGUAGUCCAAUUAGCAAAUCUUGGAGAGAGACUUUCAACACAGCAGCAACACCUCAUCUGGAGAAAAACAAACAAACAAACCACUAAAGCACUUUUUACAUGUGGGUUGGGCAAGGAACUGCAGCUGGAAGCAAGCCUGGGUCCUGCAAUUCUCUCAAAGGGCCUCCAUCUCCGUGAAGGGAAAUGAACUGUGUACAUCCAAAGGACUGUGAUGGGGCCACACUCAGGAAGGAUGGGCAACACGGAUGCACACCUCCACUGCUAAAUAAGCUAACAAAAAUGACGCAGACAAGGCACGUAUAGAAGAUGGACUGUAAGCACCCGGGCUCUUUUCCCCCUCUGUUUGUUUUUCAUUUCCUUACUGUUUCUGUUUUCCUUUGGCCGCUGCAGAGUGAAUACAGGUGGCUAACAAAUAGAAACACACCAUGGUGUGCUUGUAGCUGCUUGGAAAGCUGGCUGGCUUUCUCAUCUUGCCAGAUCAGGAGGCCUGUACCACCACACCUGAUUUGAGGAGGAGGGAGUGGUAAAAACCAUUGUGAUGACAGCGCUCCUCGGGCAUUCUGCAUAGUCGUGAUCCACACACUUUGCUUCAUCACUUUCCACACGAUGAUUUAAAUAAGUGCAGUGGUACUUCGGGUUAAGUAUUUAAUUUGUUCCGGAGGUCUGUUCUUAACCUGAAACUGUUCUUAACCUGAAGCACCACUUUAGCUAAUGCGGCCUCCUGCUGCCGCCGCGCCGCCGGGGCACAAUUUCUGUUCUCAUCCUGAAGCAAAGUUCUUAACUUGAAGCACUAUUUCUGGGUUAGUGGAGUUUGUAACCUGAAGCGUAUGUAACCUGAAGCGUAUGUAACCCGAGGUACCACUGUGUUUUAAAACAAGCGGGGAACCUCCAUGGGUAGAAGUAACUACCUGGCUCAUAAAUACACCAUCCAAUUCACCUUUGUGUGAACCACUAAAGAGGGCUGGUGUGGGAGGAUGAAACACAGCUAGCUUCCUAAGUGGUUACAAGCACACCAGGAUGCAAAUCAGUGAUGGGGAGCCCUCAGCCUUGCAGAUGAUGUUGGGUGCCCAACUUCCAUCAAACCAGUCAUGCUCAAGGAUUGUGGGAGUUGUAGCCCAGCAAAAUCUGGAGGGCCUCGGGUUCUCUACCCCUGAUGUGCAGGCACAUGACUUGGUAAACAGUAAUCUGUAUUCACCCAUAAUUAUCUCUCAAACUUGCAAUGUUUUGUUUGGCUGCAUGCUGGAUAGUCCUCCUUCAUUUUUAUUUUUCUUAUUUUAGGCUCAUCACAAAAGUAUGUAAAGAGAUCUGUUGUAUUUAAAUAUGACUUUGCUUUGAUGACACACAGACAUUGUACUAUACUUUUAAUAUUUGUUGUUCAAUGAGUAGUCCUGGUACAUCUAUGUUCAGUGUCUAAUUUGGAGCGUAAACCCACAUCCUUGUCAAGGCUUUGUUAGUUUGGUGGACUUUUUUUCUCUUCGUUCAGUAGAGGUAAUGCAUGAUUGAUUUGCAGUAACAGUUUGGGGGCGAAAUAAAUUUAACAUUUCUUAAUUUUAUAAAAAAGUAUAACGUUCUUAUAAACACAAGUAAAAUGUACUGUGGUUUCAUUUAUAUAGAUCUAGUCUGUAUGAAUUAUUUUGUUCUUAAUAAAAUGACGUAAGAAAUUG